rnacentral:lncRNA from 1 species
ACAGUGUUUCUCACACAGUAAUACACAGCCAUGUCCUCGGGCCUCAGGCUGUUCAUUUGCUGAUACAGGAAGUUCCUGGAAUUGUCUCUGGAGAUGAUGAAUCGGCCCUUCACAGAGUCUGCAUAGUGCGUCCUACUGCCAUUCCAACUAACACCCGAUACCCACUCCAGCCCCUUUCCUGGAGCCUGGCGGACCCAGUUCAUGUCACUGUUACUGAAGGUGAAUCCAGAGGCUGCACAGGAGAGUCUCAGGGACCCCCCAGGCUCUACCAAGCCUCCCCCAGACUCCACCAGCUGCACUGUUGUACCCAGGUGAGUUAAGAAAACGCCACACUUUGAGACGAAUUAAGAGUCCUUUAUUAAGCCGGCUGCCAAAGAGACAGCUCAUGCUCAAAAUUCUCUCGGCCACGAGGAAGGGGCUCGAGUAAAUUUUAUACCUAGGUUUAGGAAGGGGAGAGGGACUCAAAUGUAAUAAUUUUACAGAAGUAAAAACAUGCAAGAAUCAAAAUAAUCAAAAUAGUUACAGAGUGAUAAACAACUUAAAAGACAAAUGGUUACAAGAAGAGCAACGGUACCAGGUGCAAGGUUCUAAAUCUUUUAUUAUAAUUAGAUAUAGGGUCUAUGCCGGACACAAACUCAAGGUUUCAUGUUGUUAUCUCUUGGAGAAAAUUCCUGGGAACUUCAUACAUUGUUGGUGUGGGUACCUUAUCAGUUAAUUGGGCUCCUUUGAAAUGCUGAGGAUCUGUUUACCCAGGCCAACUCCUCACGAAAGGGGGUUGGGUGAGGAGCCCUUAGUGUCUUGUAAACUAAGGGGUCAAUUGGAGUUUGUCUGGCUUUCCUAGCUAGAGAGAGUCUUAUUUACAUGAGAAGCAAGGUUAGGUGAUUAAAGAGACAAGCAGGACAAAAUUCAAAGUAACGAGUUAAAGUAAAAACACCGUUAGGCAUUUCAUUUCCCCACUUGUGUUUUAGGGGAAUCAAGUCGUUGAUUCUUCAGUUACAACAAGGGGGUUAUAUUGAGUUCUUAGAUACAUAAGUUUGACAGACGCUAUACGUUGUUUUACAAAAUCAAGGAACCAAUUUAAUAUACAAGGGCCAAAAAUUAAACUCAAUAAUAUGAUGAUGAUGGGUCCAGCUAAACCAGUGAUUAAAGUAGUUAACCAGGGGUUCCAAUUGAACAUGCUUUGAUACCAGGCUGUGUUAUUUUCUCGUUCUUGUUGGCUCCUAUCUAGAUUUUUUUGAACUUUUUGGAGUGUAUCUUUUAUGACUCCAGAUUGAUUGGCGUAAAAGCAACAGCUUUCUCCUAGAGCUGUGCAUAAUCCUCCUUGAGAGAGGAACAGCAGAUCUAAGCCUCGGCAGUUUUGAAGUACUACUUCAGCUAGAGACUCUACCUGGGAAUGUAGUAUAUCUAUGGCAGACUGAAGAUUAUUUAAAUCAGCAUCUACCUGUUGGGACAAAGACAUUAGUCCAGUUUCUCCUCGAACUAGGGCAGCUGUACUAAUAGCUGCUGACCCAGCUAUGCUAAGACCGGCUAAAAGAGAAACCAGUAGUGGGGCAGCUCUGCGUAGCCUGGGAUGUAAUUCCGGGGGAGCAAUGAGGAGUUGUCCUUCUGAUCCACUGUACUCGUAUACCUGGGGAAGGACAUGAACUAGAACACACAAGAGGGGUUCUGAUUUAGUUCCAUUAAGGCAGCGAGUGAGACCUGAGGUGCAGGCCAACCAGGUAUUGUUAGGUGCUUGGUAAGAGACUGAGAUGCUCAUGGGAGUAAGCAGAGACUGAUUACAGAUAGCCUGAAAAGGAGAAAUAGAUAAGUCAUAUCCAGUACUAAUUAGACAAGAAGCACUUCCAGACACAUCUCCUAAUGUGAAAGCAUGAGGUUGUGCAUGACAGGAUAAAGGACUACCUUUAAGUGCGACUUCUACUCCUAAUCCUAUAUAAUAUGGGGGUUUUGCUUUUAAACAUAGCCAACAAUCUUGGGCUAGUGUAGGCUGGCUGAGGUUAAGAAAAUGAUGUACUCCACCAAGUAUAGACAUCAGACUGGGUUGGAGUUGAUGUCUUUGUAGCUGGGUCUUAGGAACUGAGAAUGGUGGGGGCACAGUUAAAUUAACUUUGUCAGGGUGAUUUUGGAACAUAGGGUCACCUAGAUCAGUUAAAGGUCCGAUUGGCUUGGGUGGGCUCCAGGGGACCAAAAUUUUCUUUUGGAUGGUGAACAUAGUUCCAACAUCGAACCCUGGGACAUAAAGUCUUAAUCCCCAUGACAUACCAUAGUACCAUUGAGCUGAAUUAGGUUCAUGGACAAUGAUGUUAAGAGGGUUACAAUUAUUUUUAGAACACGAUUUGGGACGAGAAGCACGACUUAUUGACAGAGUUGGAGAUCUAGUUGAUCCCCCAGAGUAAGUGGCUAAAGUUACACAUGCCCAAUCCGGGCGGACGAACUGGUAGGUAUCUCAACAGCUAGCAUCAGGGUGAUUUUCAGGACAGAGGUAAAAGUCAACCUUUUGGAGUCCUUUUUCAGCACCUUUGGAGCUUCCACAUCUGGCUUGGCUCCCAGAGUGUCCAAAUCCUGCUGCAAGGUCGACACCUCCUGCUCCCAUGACUGGCAGGUCGCGAUGAUCUUCGUGGGUACCAGCCGGCUCCGGGAACAGUAUACACAAGUCGACUGCAAAGGUGACUUCCUUGGAGGUACCAGCCUUCCAAGUAGUAUUGGCGAAAACACGUCCUGUUGUGAGAGAGGUGAGGGGGAAGGAGUAGGAAGGCACAGAAGACAUUACAGGCAAGGAUAAACAAAAGAAGCAAAUAAAAAGAGUUAAUUUAACAGUUUCACCCGACUUAGGUGUAGUUUUAAGGGUCCUGAUCCAGGCUUGGGGACCCAUGUUUCUGUUUGGGCUUUGUUGGCCUUUUUGAUGUGGGAGUGAUGAAUCCAAGCAGGAAUUCCGUCCACCUUCAGAGCUGUUGGCGUCGUGAGGAUGACGGUGUGAGGUCCCUUCCAAGCAGGAGUUAGGCCCUCUCUCUGGAACUUUUUAACAAACACCAGGUCACUGAGCUGGAAUGAAUGGCAGGGCCCCAUCUGGUCAGGAACUGGACUGGGAUGGGCUUCUCAAACAAGUGGCAGAAUGAUCUCUUGUACCUGUUGGAGAGACUGCAGGUACUGUAAUAAAUUAGCUUGUGAUAUUUCUGCAAAAUGGGCAUCUUUUAGCUUAGGCAAGAUAGGUGGUGCCCGCCCAUAUAUAAUUUCAAAAGGUGAGAACCCAGCCUGAUAAGGGGUGCACCUUACUCUAAGUAGGGCUAAAGGAAGGAGUUUUACCCAAUUUUCACUGGUGUCUAGAAUUAAUUUUGUAAGAGUAUUUUUUAGGGUAUGGUUCAUGCAUUCCACCUGUCCAGAGCUCUGGGGUUGAUAGGCACAAUGGAGCUUCCACUGAAUGUUUAAUGCCUUACUGACUGAUUGAGCUAUGGACGAGGUGAAGGCAGGUCCAUUAUCAGACCCUAUGGCAGCAGGCAACCCGUACCAGGGGAUGAUUUCAUUGAGUAAGAACUUAACUACUGUGUUAGCUGUCUCGUUCUUGGUAGCAAAUGCCUCAGUCCAUCCGGAGAAGGUGUCUACUGAUACUAAAAGGUACUUGUACACAGCCCGGUGUGGCUUUACCUCUGUAAAGUCAAUUUCCCACUUUUCUCCUGGCGAGUUUCUUCGGAGACGGUGACCUGGGCUGGGUUUAGGACCUUGCUUGGCAUUUACCUGGGCGCAGGCUGUGCACCAGAGAACUGCUUGAUCUGUUAGGCUUUGUAGAUGAGGGAUCUUAAAACAGCUCCGGAGGAGCUGAGCUAAUUUUGUCCCACCAAAUGGGUGGUAGAAUGUAGGUGACUGACUAAAGUUUCUCCAAGAGCUGGGGGUACGAAGAUUCUAGAGUCAGGAAGAAUCCACCAACCUUUUUGAUUUUUAUUUGCUCUAAGGUUUGCAGCCAGUUUUUCUUCUUCUGUUGAGUACGCGGGGUUGUCAGGCAGAUCUGGCUGUGGAAAAGAAACUGCCGGUAGCAGGUUUAUGGACGGAGCUGAAGACAGCGCCACUUCCCGAGCUGCUGAAACCGCUUUUGGGUUACCGCGGGCAACAGCCGUGUUUUCUUUUUGAUGUCCUUUACAAUGGAUUACAGCCACUUGUUGAGGGAGCCACACAGCUUCAAGCAGGGCUAAAAUUUCCUCUUUGUUCUUAAUUAUUUUUCCUUCUGACCUGAGCAACCCGCGUUCUUAGUAGAUGGCUCCAUGUACAUGCACAGUAGCGAAAGCAUACCUGCUGUCAGUAUAAAUGUUAAUACGUUUAUCUUUAACCCAUCGGAGAGCUUGAGUAAGGGCAAUCAAUUCAGCUUUUUGUGCUGAGGUGCUUGCCGGUAAAGCCUGAACCCACAACACAUCUGUCUCUGUGGUAACAGCUGCACCAGCUUUGCGUAUCCCCUGUUCGAGAAAACUGCUGCCGUCGGUGAACACGGUGGCGUCCGCCUUUCUCAGGAGCACAUCUUGAAGAUCUGGCCUGCCAGUUUCGGUAGCUUCUAACAGCUCCUGACAGUCAUGGACAGGAGUAUUAGAAUCUGGAUCUGGGAGUAAAGUAGCAGGAUUUAAACACCUUGUGGGAGAGAAAGUCAAACAAGGCUGAUCCAACAGUAAACUCUGAUAUUGUAAAAUACGAGCAUUUGACAUCCAUUUACCUGAAGCACUUCGUAGUCAAGUCUCUACAGCAUGAGGAACUGUAAGGGUUAAAUUCUGGCCUAGAGUUAAUUUAUCAGUUUCUUGGACUAGGCUUGCUGUAGCCACUAUGGCUGGCAAACAACUUGGCCAUCCUGAGGCCACAGGAUCCACCUUCUUAGAUAAAUAAGCCACUGGGCCUCUCCAAGUUCCUAAAGUCUGAGUAAGCACUCUCUUAGCAACUCCCUGGCUCUCAUGGACAAACAGAUGAAAAGGCUUUGAGAUAUUUGGGAGGGCUAAAGCCUGGGCUGCAGUUAAAGCCUUUUUCAGAUUCUGAAAAGCCUGUUCCUCGGUGUCUGUCCAAAUCAGUGGGCCAUUACCUUUUGUAGCAGUAUACAAAGGCUUUGUAAUCUCUGCAAACCCCGAUAUCCAAAGACGACAAUAUCCCAGGGCUCCUAGGAAUUCAUGUACCUGUCUCUUGGUGGCGGGAGUGGGGAUUCGCAGGAUGGCUUCUUUCCGGGCACUAGUGAGUGCCUUUUUUCCUUUGUUUAUCUUGUACCCCAGGUAGGACACUCUGGGAAGACAAAGCUGGGCCUUUUUGGCUGAGACUCCAUACCCGAGCUCCUGAAGGAGGUUUCUGGACCGGCAAAAAUGGCGUGUUCCAGGCCGACUGGCAUGGGGGUUCAAGGAGUGAGAGCAGAGCGAAGUCUUGGAGACGCUGAACUUGCUGUUGCACUGGAAAACGAGAUGUGCGGGAUUUCCAAAAGAAGGAUGGAAGAUAGAAGAGAGAGAGAGAGGUCUGCCAGAAACCAAGGCUUAGCUCUCCAGCGUCCUGGGUCUUGAGCUAAGUCAAGGGAGGGUCCUGGUCAGGACCACUUCCCACCCAAACCAAGAUACGAAGGCGCCUACCGGAAAACGAAGGCUCAACCCACUAGCAUCCUAGAGUAAUGGGCUGAGUCAAAAGAGGGACGCCCUCGUCAGGGCCGCUCCCCUCUCACCGGAAACGAAGUCACAUCCGACCUACCUGACCCCGGGGUCAGAAGCUGAGGACUCAGCGCCCUCGUCAGGGCCGCUCCCCUCUCACCGGAAACGAAGUCACAUCCGACCUACCUGACCCCGGGGUCAGAAGCUGAGGACUCAGUGCCCUCGUCAGGGCCGCUCCCCUCUCACCGGAAACGAAGUCACAUCCGACCUACCUGACCCCGGGGUCAGAAGCUGAGGACUCAGCGCCCUCGUCAGGGCCGCUCCCCUCUCACCGGAAACGAAGUCACAUCCGACCUACCUGACCCCGGGGUCAGAAGCUGAGGACUCAGAUGUUGACUUUUAGGGCGCUGACACAGUGGUCGAUCCGCUCUCCUCUGGAAGGCGGUCACUCUUUGCAGACCUGAAAAUUCUUUCCUCAGGUGGUGUCCCUCCUCCGAGCUGGCCAUCCUUCCGGGGGAGCCCGGAGCGAGACCGGCUCUCGCCCAGUGGUGUUAAUAUCUCGCUGCGGCCUCCAAAAAUGUUGUACCCAGGCGAGUUAGAGAAAACGCCACACUUUGAGACGAAUUAAGAGUCCUUUAUUAAGCCAGCGGCCAAAGAGACGGCUAAUGCUCAAAAUUCUCUGGGCCCCGAGGAAGGGGCUUGAUUAACUUUCAUACCUAGGUUUAGGAAGGGGAGGGGAACUCAAGUGCAAUAAUUCUACGGAAGUAAAAACAUGCAAGAAUCAAAAGAAGCAAAAUGGUUACAGAGAGAUAAACAAUUUAAAAGACAAAUGGUUACAAAAAGAGCAACAGUACCAGGUGCAGGGCUCUAAAUCUUUCAUUAUAAUUAGAUAUAGGGGCUAUGCCGGGCAUGAACUCAAGGCUUUAUGUUGUUAUCUCCUUGAGAAAAAUCCUGGGAACUUCAUACAUUGUUGGUGCUAGUACCUUAUCAGUUAACUGGGCUCCUUUGAAAUGCUGAGAAUCUGUUUACACAGGUUAACUCCUUACGGAAGGGGGUUGGGUGAGGAGCCCUUAGUGUCUUGUAAAUUAAGGGGUCAAUUGGAGUUUGUCCAGCUUUCCCAGCUAGAGAGAGUCUUACUUACAUGAGAAGCAAGGCUAGGUGAUUAAAGAGACAAACAGGGAAGAUUCAAAGUAGUGAGUUAGAGUGAAAACAAGGUUAGGCAUUUCAACUGACCACAAUACUCAGACAACAGCUCCCCCGCUACCCAGGAAAAAAAAAUAGCUGGCAUUCACUACAAAGCACUAUGAUUAAAUGUGUACUACAGGUCCCAAGGCUGCAGACAACCACAGACACUGUUAUCUGGCAUAGCAUUUUAAGGGCUCAGAGUUCUCAUCAGGAGGUAACUGAGAGCCAUAAAUGAACAAUGUUUUUCAGGAAUGUGCAGGGUUUAAACAAUCCAGGUCUGCUGAGUUAACCUUCUACUGUACACAAAUCCAGAUUAGAGGGCAGCAGGGACGUUCAAUGGAUGGCCAGACUCAGGAGAGAGGGUAGAGAUGGUCAGGUUAGGACCCCAAGGAGCAGCCUGGGAGACUGUAGGAGUGAAACUGAGAACCUCCUGAGGGGCCUAUGGGUGUACAUAGCUGUGAGUUUAACUAAAGCUGUUGGGUUUCCCAGGAGCCCAAGAAAAUGGUACUACAGUGAAGGGUGUGGGGAAGUGGCCAUAAACGUCAGUGGGUGUGUGCAGGAGGGGAAGGGAGCCAAUGGAGUUAAGAAAGAGGAAAGAGACCAAGGGAUAUGGGCAUUCCUUACAGAAGCAGGUUCAGAAAUAAGCUUUCAGAUGCCUCUUGCCUGGACUUCCAUCAAUAUGUCAAAUAUAAAUUUGAGGUAUGUUUCCCAUCUGACAAAUACCACAGAGUGAGGAAAGAGCUGGAGGCGUUGCUAGGAGAGAACACCCUGGACGUGACCACAGCCCCUUUUGUCCUCACACUGCCCUGCCUGUCCUCUAUCCUCACAGCGUGGAGGUUCUCAUCUUUGCCCUGCCUGUCCUCUAUCCUCACAGCGUGGAGGUUCUCAUCUUUGUCCUGUGGUGGGAAAAACAUCUGGUUCUUGGAACACUAAGAAGACCUCCAGAAUCAUGUAGGUGAUUACGUCUACUAUAAAUCUUGCAUUUCCAAACAAGUUCUCUAUCUACUUUUCAUCAAUGUGUUCGUGAAGCUUCAGGGUAAAUGAAAUAAGGCAGUCACUAAAUAGUGAAAAAAGUCACCUAUUUACUCAUGUUCAGAUGACUCCCGGGUUUCAGAAUCAAAGAAUUGGACAGAGAAGCACAACCGUUGGUGCCCAGGACUUCUGGACACCACACAUGGAAACUGAAAUUCACAAAACACCCCUUAUAGUAAAAUGGAGAUCCUCGCUUUCAUGCAAUGUUUGAGGUCCUUUGAUCAAUUAGGAAAUACUAAAGGUUGAUUUGUUAAAGAAAAAAUGUAUAUAUGAAGACACUUGUUCCAGCACAGUAAGGAAGACUUCAUCCAGGGCCCUCAUGAUAGGUGUAGGGACCAGGGCAGUGGGAUUUUGCAGUGGGGGAGAGAUUCAGCAGAACUCCAAAUACAGAAUGAGAACGUGAGGAUUUAUAGGCAUACAGCAGGGUUGGGGCACAGGAUGGAAAAUCACCAAGAAGAAACAUCAGGAGUGAGGUAAAUCCUGCUUAGGGCAGCCUGCCAGGAUUUUUGUUGAAGUUAGACCAGGGUGAUCAGAUGUCACCCAAGUUAUGGUGAAGGACAAGGAAACUGAUCAGAUAUCCAGGAAAAUCAGACACUCAGUAUGGGGAAAACUGGCUAAAUCAACACAACAGAAUUCCAGGUAAAACUGAAUUUUAAAGGAAAGUGCAGAGAGACAGGCUUAGGAUAAGAUUCAGGAGCCUCCUAACUUCUCGUGAAGCAAAUUAGCUUCAUCAGGUUGGGACACAUAAAUGGUAGCACUUUCUGCUGACCAAACUCAUGACUAAAUGAAAUGAGAACAGUACAUCACAAAAAUGUAAACUGAACCAUAUUCAGAAUUUCUGAAGAUGAUGAGUGGCAGAAUGAGCUGAGGUGUGAUAGAUCAGGGGGUCUCCUAAUUCUGAAUCCUGCAAUUAGUUCUAAGCAGCAUUCACUGACAACAGCACAGCUCGAGAUUCCCACAUGCACAAACACCUGACUCCAUGAAUCUGCAGCCGGGGGUCUCUGCAGGCUCUGAGGUGCACAGGACAUAUCCCACCUCAGAUUCAGCCUCAGGUAAUUAUCUGCUGUUCCCGUGGGGAGGAGAGGAACAGUGUGGAAGGAGGGUCAGCUGUACUCCACUCAGGAUCUCUGUACAUGGAGGAAAACAAUGAAAGUGGGGAACACAUGUCCUCAACUUAUGUUACACUUCCACAUGAGAAAGGCAACACCAUGCCAGGACAUUCUGCAGAAUCAAAGAAUAAAGCUCUCAAGGUAAAUGUAGGAAUCACCAUUGUUUACAGACUGUAUGUUUAUUUCUAUGUCAUCCACAGAAAUUAAGUAAAAGUUGUGUUCUGUAUGGAACCCACAUCAUAUGGGUUCUGAGUCAGGUCUUCCCUCCCUCCACCUGCAGGGAGCACAGUGCACCUGAGCCAUGCGCCUGGGGCUGCACUCUGAUGUGCAUGCCACGGCUGGUGCUGGGGCCACGUCCUGUGCUCCACUCUCAGGAGAACAAUGAGCUCCGCGCUGAUCUGAGUAGAGCCACUGCUGGGAGUCACGGGGGUCCCCGAUGGGAAACUUUGACAUGACUCAGAUACAGUGACUUGCUGGACCUUCCUAGAACAGCACAGUUUAAGGAAGUUCCACUGAGUUAUCCUCCCUCUCUCCUUCACUCAGGGACCAACUUCCCUCAUAUGCCUUCAGCUUCCCCAGCCUCCUUCCACCCGCUCUGCGUUUCCUCUCAAAAGCGUGGACCGGUUCCUUAGGAAACUGUACAUAAACCUAAUCCAUUCAUAGAAUGUGCUUCUCCGAAGACCAACACUAACACAUGUGUUGGCAAAGCUGUUCAUAAU